UACGUAGGGUGCAAGCGUUGUCCGGAAUUAUUGGGCGUAAAGAGCUCGUAGGCGGUCUGUCGCGUCGGCUGUGAAAACUUGGGGCUCAACCCCAAGCCUGCAGUCGAUACGGGCAGACUAGAGUGCGGUAGGGGAGACUGGAAUUCCUGGUGUAGCGGUGAAAAUGCGCAGAUAUCAGGAGGAACACCGGUGGCGAAGGCGGGUCUCUGGGCCGUAACUGACGCUGAGGAGCGAAAGCGUGGGGAGCGAACAGG
rnacentral:rRNA from 1 species